UUUAACAUUUUAUGAGACACGGUAUAUGAACUCUCCAAAGCAGCAUGACAUUCAUGAGAGCAAAGACAAAGAGACGAGUACACCUUCCAGCUUAGUUUUCAUCAGCACUGACGCAGACAGUUUUGUGGAUUGAGAGAGCUUUGCCAUUCAAACCCUUGGGGAUGAUUAAUACAACGCCAAUUUACUGAAGUGCUCCAAAAAAUCAACAUGCGCUUUUUAUGAGGUGCCUUUGGACAUACCACAAACUAUUGAGACCCAGAAACGAACCAAAAGCCCGCUUGCAGGUUUGUCUACCUCAGCUUUGGUCAGAUCGCAAGUGUUUGUAUCGUACACACACACACAUAACAUCGAAGUCAGUAACACAUUAAAAUGGCAGACAGACCGAAGCUUUAGUUUCAACAGUUCAAAGUUUGUGAGCAGAGUUAAUAAAAAAAAGGCAAAACCCGGCACUAAUUCCACUGGAAAACAAAAGGAUGAAAAAAAAACAAGAUGGAUGAAAUAAAAGUUUGAAGAGAAAUCUGGGAAGUUUAGAAUAUCGUUUCUAUUUUUGGCGCCACGUCGCCUAAACCAGUUUACGUCGAGAUCAGAAACGUGUGCGUUCAAGUCGAACGGAGCUCGCUGUGGGGCUUUUGACUUUUUAAGGCUUUGGGUGUAAGUAAAUUCAAUUACGUUUCCCAAAUUAUGUCUAUCACGAGCGAUUUGGAAGGUUUUCUGAACAGCCUAUGUGAUUCAGGCAAGGUUUUCCUGCCAAUGGCUGUCCUUCCUUGGGUAAGAGAAAUGUAAAAUCCUUUGGAAGUAUGUCGGGGGAGAUCGCCAGGCGUUUCUGGUUUGAACGCGCUAACAAUGCGGGCAUCUUCCAGAUCAUUCUGAAGCGAACGAACUGUUUCCCGGUUACUUCUGUGAGCAUAAUCGAUAAACGUGUUGAUUAUAACAAUCACAGAAUAACAUAAGUCGAUUUUUACUAAACGACGAUUUCAAAUAGAUCCCCCUUUUUUGUCCAAACCCUACACAAGUUGAAAAUAGCAUUCUCUUCACAUAUCUCUGUUCUAUUUAUCUCGUUGAUCCCAUCCUGCAAUUCGUACCCGUUUGGUCAGGUUUCAAAUUGGAAGAAUGCAGAGCGCGCUAAUUUGGCCUUUCCCCCCUUUUCUGCUGCUAUCCAGUCGAUUUGCACAGCUUGUUACUUCGCCAUUCUCUCUUGUUCGGUUAUUCAGGUUUGGGAUCUGCCGGUAACUGAGGGCCGACGCUGAAACGCCAGUUGGAGAUCUCAGUGGGGAACGAACAAUGGUGUCUGGCUUUUCGGGACAUCCAAUACACAUCCCAAUCCACAUCAAGCCGAGCUGUGUCUGACUGAGCACACUGCCGUCAAUCUGCUGCUCACAGCACUCAGCAAACGAGACUCAGAGACUUUACUGGCAGAAGUUGUGUCCUCGAUCUGGAUUCUUUUUACCUUUGAUCCGACUCCUUUCCAUCGACGAUUUUGAGGUAAAUAUUCGAGAACGGGAGUACCGUGCUUUGCUCUCUGCACCAGUCUGGAUAGCCGGAUGCGCUUACUGCAAUUCAAGGAAACGGGACUAUGUUAGGCAACCGCUUGCUCCGAGGUGAAACAAAACCUCUCCCCUAAUCUGGUCGACAGCCGGACCAACUGCAAAAAUGCAGAACAGUCGAAAAAACUGAAAGCGUCGGAAUACAAUCGCCUAUUCCAUUAGAACUCUUUACAACGGUGAGGAUGAGAACAGGUCAAACAGACACACAUAGUGGCUCAGCAAAAGGACACGCUGGGCAGACUCAGAAAUCCUUUUGUAGAGGGCCCCGUCAGUUAUGGAGCGAAUGUACCGUUGAUACAGUAAUACCCUUGAUGUUGCCAGCUCGCAAACAGUACUUAUGCAGUUUAUAUUAAUGCCACAGUCAGAUAAAUAUUUACAGCCUGCGGUUUGUAUUUCUUUUUUUUAUAAAUAAAUCGAUUUAAAAGAGCUCGGGCAGCGUGGAGCCUGAACACUUUCGCUUUGAAAUGCACGACAGUAUUAGAAAUUUUGAAGAAGACUGGAGAUAGGGUUCUAUUUAAAAGAGAAUGGCACCGAUUUCACUUUCGAGAUCGUGGUCUGGUCAAAUUUGAAUAAAUGCAAUUGUUUUCUGAAAUUAUUGAAGCUUUUUCAUUUAAAAAAUGGCGGUCCUUUAUCAGAUCGAAGCAAUAUUUUUUUUCCCCCAGAGGUUCUUACAUAUUUUAGGAAGCUUGGGACAGGCAAAGUGAACCCAAAGAAGAUCGUUUUUGGUUUUUUUUAUAUCAAGUGUUUGUAGAUAGCCGAGGAAUCGAGGCCUGACUGAGUCCCAUUCCCUCUAAACCAGUAUACCGUCAUUAUUCUUGGUGGUAACGUGGUUUUGGAAAGAAUUGCAUCCUCACUUGCUUCUUUGCCUUUAUGUAACCGACAUUCGGACAGACACUGCCCUGUGAGUGAUUUGACCUCUCUUUAAACCGGUCGGUGGCUCUCAUUGUGAAGGGACUGUUGGCUGUUUAUUAGUAUUAGCGGAGAUCCCAGUCCGAACCGCAAAGUCGACGAGUACCGCUGUUACUUGAGGUUACAAUUUGUAACCUUUAGUGAAAGAAACAAGGAGUCGGGUUACACACUCCAGCCUCAGUGCUUGAGGUCGCUGAAGCUGUCGAACGUUUGUCCGCGUAGUCUGUGAACUGGGGCCUUCUCUAUACACUGCCAUCCAGUAAUACAGAGCAACAAAUUCCUGAUCGGAAAACGGAGCGUGUGUAAAAUUGCCGUUAUACACAACUGCUGCAUGCACUGAAUGAGAACUGUAAUUCUGAUAAGAUUGCCAGUUUAGCAAAUCAUCUUCACAGGAAAUGUAAAAGUCCGAAGAGGAAAUAGGGUGACAGUUUAUAGUCGCUGUGUUCUGCUUGAACCCACUGGCUCAGGUUAUAUCAAAUGAUCGUAAUAUUGGAUAAUGGAGUCAGAUGACAGAUAAGGGCGAGCUUUCAUUGUGGAAGGGUCAACAAUCCACCCUUUUGUUGUGCAGUGAUAUAUUGUAAACAAAUACAUUCUGGGCAAGAAUAAAACAUUUCAGAAGUGGCUUCUUUUCUCGCUGUCUAUUCUAACAUGAAAAAAGAUUGUUGUAUUAUGAUUUACGAAAGCGUAACCACUAAUUGUGUGUGUGUUUUUAUUGCUGUUGAGUCAGUGAUAUCAAAACUUUAUUUUUCAGCGAAAGGAUAAGGGUACAUGGUACAGAUGAACGUAUCUCUAACCGUUGCUCUUAACACACAAAUUGCGCUUUGGAACAUGCUUAAAUGGGUUUUGCCGUAAUGUUCGGACAAGUAUUUCGUGAAUGAGCGAGUUUACAGAAUAAAUUAAACACGUCUUGCUCUAUUUUGUCCGCCUGACUCUUCAAUACGCGCAACAUAAUCGGCUGGCGGCCCAUAUAUAUCAGUGCCCAACCUAACUUUUGCGGAAACCGAAAGAUCUCAGCAUCCAGAUAUUAGCAGGAGGACCUACACAAUUAAUAAAACACAACUUCGAAAUGGACAAUCAAUAAUUUUAAUUGCUAAGAACUGAUUGGGCUUAUAGUACAAGUGACACCAAAAAUGAUUAUCACAACAGAGCUACUAAUGAUUUUUGAGCAAUUUUGUCCUUUUCAGUAACCUUUCCAUUUCUAGCUGUGUUAUUGUAGCUUCUUAUGAGGUUCAAUUAUUCCUAAUAUAGAUCAAUUAGCGAAUGCUCAUGGAUGUCUUAAAAGGAUGUAGUUGGUACACAAUUGAAAAAUCCUCCUUUUCAAGAAAAUAAUGAUAUUAAAGUGCCUGGAAAGUAUGCUGUUUUCAGUUUUCAUUUGGUGACUUUGGUUAAGACUGGAACCCCAUGAUGGACAAUAUUCAGAUCUCCACAAUUUGUGAAAUUGAAGAUCUUCCUUUUCCUGUCUUUUCCAUUCUCACCGAAAAUGUUAACGAAUUGGUGUUAACAGUCUGAGUGAACAUUGACUAAAGUCGAAACUUCCAUCAAAACGCUAAGGAUAUCUUCUGAGUCUUUGUACGUUGAAAUGCUCUCGCGAGUGUUAUCAAUGUUUGCAAUGUUUGGUGUACAGCAAAUCUUUGCAGAAUGUGGCAAGUUGUUGCAAGAUUGAUGUAAUUGUUCUUGAACUGAGUCAUAAUGUUACUGUAUAAAUUUUAAGUUUUCGUUUCAUAAAUAUAACACUUUAUGACCCCUUUAAUAACUUUUUUUGCAAAAUAUUUGUAGAUAAUUAUGUGUACAAUACAUUGGUGCUAAAUAAUUGAUGCAUUUCAAGACUGCCUGUAUGUAUUAUUUCCAUAAUAUAAAUCUACAGAAAAACAUUCCAGUGGAAAGAUAUUCCAUAUUAUUUAUUGUCAGUAAUGAUAAAUUAGAACAUCGAAUCAAUUCGUAUCAAUUAUUGCCUGCUUGUAGCCAAAUAAAGUUUGUUCCAAUGGUUUGUAGAAAAACAAGAAUGGGUACUUGAAUCUUGUGCAAUUUUCUUGCUAAACUCUAAAGAUUAAUGAUUCUCAACACUUUAUCCCAUGAGUAUUUGUUUUGCAGUAGAUCCUAUAAAGAUUUAAGUUCUGCAUUUGCUACCCUGUGAUUAAUGAGAUGCUAGCUUUACAUUAUAAGAUCAUAUACAGAACCACAUGGUCACAGAGACAAUACAUCGAGUGCCUUGUUGUUACUUACAGACAUACAGUGGUAUCAAAGUUCUUUUUCUCCAGCAUCCAAAGACUUCUGCCAGCAUGAACAUCAAGUUCAUAACCAAUGGUGAUUUUACAUUGAAUUGAUAUUCUAGAUUUUCUCAGCCUAUAAUGGAAUCACAUUUUAUAAUGCAAAUAGACUAUUGGAAUGUAAUUUGAACUCUACAUUAUUUGGCACACAAUCUCCGUUCCCUCUUUUAUAGCUUUCAUAUUGUUAUGUGUCCAAAGUCCCUUACACUUCAGGUAUAUUGUAAGAAAACUAACUUCAGGUAUAUUGUAAGAAAACUAAACAGCUCUGAAGAAAUAUCAUGUAAAGCACUGUGUUUUUAUCUUCACAGAUGUAGCCAGACUUGCUGAGUAUUUCCAACAGUUUCUAUAUGUAUUGUAGAUCAACCGGCAUCCACAUUAUUUAGCUUUUAUUUAUUUAAGUUAUAUUGUAUAUAGAAGGGCACAUGAUUCUGAAUCUAACCAAACUGUAAUCUGUAGUUUUUCUAAAUUAAAAUAAAUGGAAUUACUAUAGGAUCUAGGUGGCCAAAACAAAAAUAACAAUUAUAGACUGAGAUUGCUGAAUGACAGCAGGAUCUUCUUUCUUUUAUCUAUUAUAUCUCAUAGUAUUUGUUCCCAUACAACAGGCAAUGUCAGUGCAGGACUGCCAAUUCAUUGCAAUGAAUUUUCCCUAUACAAUCUAAUGACCAGAUUAAAGGUUUGAAUUCCAUGAUGGUGUCAAAGAAGCAAUCCUAUCAGCUAGAUGUGGAAUAGGUUGUACAAGGGUCAAUUUAGAUAGUAUUAUGUAAUGCACUAAAUCUACUAUAUAAUUUACUUAGGUAUGUUCACUUUUAGUGGAGCGAUUGGUUUAUAUUGUUGGCUUUCAACAACAUGAUUUUAAUAUGUGUAUAAAUGUGUGUGCACAUGGAUGCGUGAUAAAUGCCUACUUAAGUGCAGUGCUGAUAUGGCAGAUGUAAGCAUGCAAAAUCAAAUGUUGAAUUAAUGUAUCCCAGCCACAGAUUAGAUAUUUUGUAAAAUAAUGGAUAGCAGGCUGUUCAGAAUUAAUGUGGGUAUAAAGUCAGCAAUAAUUUAGACAAAUCUGUUACUAAUGAUAAACUAAUUUUUCUCUAACUUUGUCCGGGUAUGAAAUUGAAGUUAAAAUUGCCAAAUUUAUGCCAUCCAAACAAGAUUUUAAGAAAUUGUGUUUGUUUUCAUAGUUGUUCAUCCCUGGAGUUGUGAAAACCCAGCCUAUCUGUAAGUCAUUCAUACUUUUCAUUUCUGUAACUCACCUCGUGCAACAAAUAA